CAGCAGCCACGGUAAAACGGAGGGGGCUAGCGUUGUUCGGAAUUACUGGGCGUAAAGCGUACGUAGGCGGCUUUGUAAGUUAGAGGUGAAAGCCUGGAGCUCAACUCCAGAAUUGCCUUUAAGACUGCAUCGCUUGAACGUCGGAGAGGUGAGUGGAAUUCCGAGUGUAGAGGUGAAAUUCGUAGAUAUUCGGAAGAACACCAGUGGCGAAGGCGGCUCACUGGACGACUGUUGCCGCUGAGGUACGAAAGCGUGGGGAGCAAACAGGAUUAGAUACCCCAGUAGUCCCUGUCUCUUAUAC
rnacentral:rRNA from 1 species